UGCUCAUCAGCUAUCCUAGGUGGAGUCCU
rnacentral:piRNA from 2 species